GAGCAGUCGCCGGCUGAACGGAUGCCAUUGAUGUUGGUAAAUAUGAGGGUGACCUUACUGCUUU
rnacentral:tRNA from 1 species